AACAAUAAAGGGUGAAAUGCAGUAAGUAUUACAUUAUUAUUUCAAAUCAAACUUGCCGUUGCUAUAAUUAGUUAAAGUAAACAUAAGCAAACUUUGAAUGUGGGAAUGAAUAAACCACAAAUAAGCUUAAAUUCCCUAUGAAGUGCAUCCACUAUGUCCACUAUGGUCCACUAGAGCUGCGUUCCCCAUGAAGUGCAUCAUGUCCACUAUGGUCCACUAGAGCUGCGUUCCCCAUGAAGUGCAUCAUUUCAUGUUCACUAUGGUCCAGUAGAGCUGCGUUCCCUAUGAAGUGCAUUAGUUCAUGUCCACUAUGAUCCACUAGAGCUGAGCUAACCCUCUUGAGAGUGCUGAUGUCAUAUUCUAAAACUGAUAGUUCCAGUCCUUGAUUGUGAUUGGC